GAUGAACGCUGGCGGCGUGCCUAAUACAUGCAAGUCGAACGGAGUUUAGCCUUCGUGAUCUUCGGUUCAAAUAGGGCAAGACUGAGUGGUGUACGGGUGAGUAACACGUUAGUAACCUGGCUCAGUUAGGGGCGUAACAUAGAGAAAUUUCUGCUAAUACCGUAUAAGCACACACUGCCGCAUGUUAGAGUGUGAAAAGAGUAUCGCUAUGAUAUGGACCUUCGUAUGAUUAUCCAGUUGGAAGGGUAAGAGCCUUCCAAAGCCACGAACAGUAGCCGAUUGGGGAGGAUGACCGGCAAAAUUGGAACUGAGACCGGGCCCGAACUCCUACGGGAGGAGGAGGUGGGGGAUAUUGCAAAAUGGGGAGAACCCUGAUCAAGCGACGCCGGGGGAGUGAAGCAGUAUUUGGGUAUGUAACGCUCUAUCAGCAGGGAAGAUUAUGACGGUACCUAAAUAAGAAGCACCGGCUAACUACGUG
rnacentral:rRNA from 1 species